UACAGAGGGUGCGAGCGUUGUUCGGAAUUAUUGGGCGUAAAGGGCGCGUAGGCGGUGCGGUAAGUCACCUGUGAAAUCUCCUGGCUCAACUGGGAGCUUGCAGGCGAAACUGCCGUGCUGGAGUGUGGGAGAGGUGCGUGGAAUUCCCGGUGUAGCGGUGAAAUGCGUAGAUAUCAGGAGGAACACCGGUGGCGAAGGCGGAUCUCUGGGCCUUACCUGACGCUCAGGCGCGAAAGCUAGGGGAGCGAACAGG
rnacentral:rRNA from 1 species